rnacentral:lncRNA from 1 species
CACAGGGGUUGUGUGGUGAGAGAGGCUUGGGAAAUCCAAAAGACGUCACAGGGAUGGAGGCAGGAGCCCAGCGGGAGUCAUUUACCCAGCUGCUUUCUGAUGGACCUGGCAGGCCUGGGGGAAGAAGAGUCCUACGUGACUAUGACUACAUGCCUUUGCUACAGUGGACUUCUGCUACGAGUGAAGUGUCACACGGGGAGAAUGCUUACAAGGUCAAUUUACUUUUGUUCUUGUUUUAAUCACUGGAAGCUGAGUUGCAACAUACAUCUUGUUAGUUGCGAUAGUCACGGAAAUAAAGCUCUCUUCUAAUAUGG